UAAAAGAAAAGAAAGAGGAGAUUCCAGAGCAAUAUUUUUAAAUGCUUCACUAUUUCUUGCUGUACUUAAGGGGAUCAAAAAGACUUCUCAAAAGCUAAGGAAAGCAUGAAAGAUUAAGAUUCCUGCUAGAACACACUGAUGGUUUGUAUCCUGCUGUGUAAGCAAUCUCCUUCCUUUAAGUUAUAACUUCCUUCAUAGAAGCCAUCGUCUUCAAAGUAUUUGUUUCAUCUAGACUGUAAUUUUGAGAGAGGAGAUAAGGUCAGCCUAGAUCUAUGCCAAGAAGAAAAGAAUAAGCAUGCCACUAAUAGAAUGGUUACAAUGAUGUCCAUAUAGACAUAUGUUGUUGGCAAUUUAUAGGAUGCAUCCAAGGCUGAACAUUGUCAUUGGAAAGUCACUCUAUAAUUUUUGGAAGAUUAUAGAGGUCAAGAAAAAUUCCAGAUGAGAGGAAGAGUGACUGGAAUGUAUCAUUACAUUCUACAUGAAAGGUAAAAAAAGAAGAUUCAGGAAACUACAGACUAGGUGACAAGGAAACUGGCUAAUAAUUGAGAAUCUGAACUCUUUUCCAGUUUUCUUGCUUUCUGUCCGAUGAAUGGAAGCAGAAGUUCUCAUUUAUUGGAUAGUGUAGCAUAUUUACAAGCAGUAUUUUUGUGCAAAAAUAGCUGUGAUGAAGCCAGACCAAAAUGUUUACUCUGCUAGUUGAAGACCUACUGAAACCAAAUAAAAGGCUACAACAAAGAAGAAAUUUUCUAGAUGAAUUCCUCUGAGCAAUUAUAAAUAUUUACAUACAAGAUUUAUUUUAUUUAUUUAUUUAUUAGAUACAAGUGAGUAUUUUCAAAUCUACCAAUAGAGCAUUUUUGUGGAUAAUAAUUUAUUUAUUUUUUUUUCCAGGGUUUGCAUGUCAGCUGCCCUCAGGAAGGGUUAAGCUCAUAAGUAAUUGCUCAGAUACCAGAACCAGACUAUAACAUGGAAUAUAUCCUCCAUUUUUAUUUUUCACUGAGGAAGAAAAAUAUCCUGUCAGUAAAACACAUCGUAGUGACAAAUCAGUUUUUCACUUCAUUGGUCUUAUAUUUAAUGUAUAGCCUGUGGCAAUAUAUUUAUACAGUUUGCAGCCUCUGCUUGAGCCCCUGAGGAAGCUUGGCUGUCCUCUGCCCUAUAGAGAGAAAUUCAUUCAUUUCAUGCAAGCUGCAUAUUAUGGGAGUCAGUAAUGUAAGUGGAGAAAAAUGUUGAUUCUCGUUG
ensembl:lncRNA